rnacentral:rRNA from 1 species
UACGGAGGGUGCAAGCGUUAUUCGGAAUUACUGGGCGUAAAGGGCGCGUAGGCGGCUUGGUAAGUCAGUUGUGAAAGCCCGGGGCUUAACCCCGGAAGUGCAGCUGAAACUGUCAGGCUUGAGUAUGGUAGAGGGAAGUGGAAUUCCUGGUGUAGCGGUGAAAUGCGUAGAUAUCAGGAGGAACACCGGUGGCGAAGGCGGCUUCCUGGACCAAUACUGACGCUGAGGCGCGAAGGCGUGGGGAGCAAACAGG